UGCCUACGGGAGGCAGCAGUGGGGAAUAUUGCACAAUGGGGGAAACCCUGAUGCAGCGACGCCGCGUGAGUGAAGAAGUAUUUCGGUAUGUAAAGCUCUAUCAGCAGGGAAGAAAAUGACGGUACCUGACUAAGAAGCCCCGGCUAACUACGUGCCAGCAGCCGCGGUAAUACGUAGGGGGCAAGCGUUAUCCGGAUUUACUGGGUGUAAAGGGAGCGUAGACGGCCAGACAAGUCAGAAGUGAAAGCCCAGGGCU
rnacentral:rRNA from 1 species